AUUAACGCUAGCGGCAGGCAUAAUACAUGCAAGUUGAACGGCAGCACAGGUAGCAAUACUGGGUGGCGAGUGGCGCACGGGUGCGUAACACGUAUGCAACCUACCCUAUACAGGCGAAUAACUUUUAGAAAUGAGGGCUAAUACGCCGUAGUAUUACAGAUGGGCAUCUAUUUGUAAUUAAAGAUUUAUCGGUAUAGGAUGGGCAUGCGUCCCAUUAGUUAGUUGGUAAGGUAACGGCUUACCAAGACGAUGAUG
rnacentral:rRNA from 1 species